GGCAAACUACACCUUUGGGCCGAGUGGGUGAAGACUUCACCGUGAUGCGGCGGCCUGAUAAGUCGUUGGGUUGAGCCCGCGAGGGUUCGAAUCACUCAGGUGUCG
rnacentral:tRNA from 1 species